GAAAACUAUCUGUAUAACAAGUGAAUUCGUCGACAAGGUACUUCAAAAAGAUAGACUAGAUAUACUUUUUAAAGGGCAAUGAUUGUAGUUAGGAAUAAGAAGUUAUCAAAUGUGAAUUGGUUCAAAAGUCGUGGAAAAAUACUUUGUUUGAAUACGCAAAGCUCAUGUCAUGUAGGAGACACAAGAAAUCGCGAAAUUAACAGAUCACCGGUGAUCUCCUCGCGUCGUAGUUUGAACGUUUCACGAGUAAGAGUGACGGUUCAGAGUGUCAUAACAAAGAAAGUGCUGAGUGCUGAUUUGGGAGGGUUCUUAUACUAAGGCUUGGUCCUCCUGGAGGGGUUAUCGUCGGGUGUAUUACCAGACGCGACUAUUCUGUUACUAUCUGGUUAUUGUUUCGAUGGGUGUGGCAUGCAGGAUGUUUUGUCUACCCUGUUACUGUUUUUGAGCGUGUGACACUCACAGAGAUUGACGCCCGCUAUUUCAAUCUACAUAAGCCCAAACCUUGUUACAAGAAAAUGAAAAUAUUUAUUAUCUGUAUUGGAUAUGGAUUACUUUUUUCAAUUCGACUGUCUUAGUGGACAAAAUGAUAUUAAUGUCAAGUGAUAGCCAACUUCCUCACGACAGCCGGAUUCAUCAGUAUUUUUCAUUUUUCUUUUGUGUACCAUUUAAUAGCGUCUGUCAACACAUGUCAGAUCUAUGCGUCUAAAAGAUCCUUUUUUCAUUUUUGAAGUAGUUUCAAGUUAGUAAAAGAAAGAAAUAAAUAUUGAAAUGUUUGUGCGCUGUAGAAGUUGUUUACAGGCUGCUGCAAUGUGUUUUUAAAAGCAAUAGUUAAGUAGACUGCAGUAGUAGAAUGCAAACACGUACGUUGCCAUGGGCAAGCUAUGGGCAACGUGUGGGCAAGGUUCAAUGUGAUAGUAGCAACAAUCUUUUGCAAAUAUCUCGGAAACUAAGACCGAGCGACGGUUAUGUGUAUAGGAAAAAGUUUAGAAUGUUGAAUUUUACAACAAAUUUAGAUUUCACUACAAUCUGAUGUACAACCUCGUUUAUAAAUAAUUACAGAAUAUCAUUGUAUCCUGAAAAUUUUUCUAAUUAAUUUGUGUAAGCAAUACCAUACCUCAUUCUUCAUUUUAUAUUUCAUUAUUUAUCAUAUGUUAUUAUUUACUAUAAUUCAACAAUAUCAAAAAUAUAUUCCCAGCCGGGGAACCAUUUCCAUACGUUACUUUACUACAUAUCGCAUAAUAAUUGUGGUAUAAAUUAUCGGUACUUGUACC
rnacentral:misc_RNA from 1 species